GCUAUAUUGUGCCAACCAUAGCAUUGACGCGUGCUUAGGUGUUUGAUAACAUCUAAUUGAUGAGGACAAAAUGGUCAUUCCCCUAUCAAAAACAUAAUGGAGAAGUCAGAAAAAAACAGCAAAAAAAAAAAAAAAAGCAAAAAGAAGAAGCCUUGUGAAAAAUAUCUUGACUAUAAGUGUGGCUGAAGUGGAGUCCCCAGGUGAUAUGGUAGCAGGGGAGGUUGUGUCUAAGAGAGAGAGAGACAGAAGAUUGACGGAGUGGGUGAUGAAAAGGUCAUGGAAAGAAAAUUGCUUCAAACAAUUUAAAGACCAGUAGAAAUUAUGAAAAGUAGCAGCUAAGAUUCAAAUUGUAGAUGAGUGUAACUGUUUUAUGAUUGUAGCAAAUUAAUUAUAUUAUGCAACAUGGUGGUACAGCCAUUCACGUGCUAUAACACCCACGUCUUCUGGAAAAUGAAGCAGUUAUAUAUAAAAUUCACAUAGAAACCAGCACUGUCACUUACAAGCUGUGCUGCAAGUGAUCUCAUACUGCACUCUGAAAUCUGAGAGGCUGUUGAUUAUUUUGUCUGCACCUGAUAUGUGAGUGGAAUUACCAGUAAUAGCUAGUUGAGUUUGCCUUACUCUGCAGAUGAGCCGAGUUGUCUUCGGGAGUUUUAUUUGUUGACUUUGCACAUAGCUUGCACUUUGGUGUUACAAGUAGGGCUUUGUCAUAUCUCUGCGAUUACGAUGAUUGGGUCCAUAAAGAGGUGGUUUGGCUGCAGCACUGCUGAGCCUGAGAAUGUGUAUUAUGAAGGGCAUCAGCUCAGGUAUGAAGAACUUAGCAAGCUCCAACAUGCGGCUGCCACUGGGAAUGUCUCUAAGAUUAAUAAAUUGCUUAAGAAGCGCAACAUCUGCCACCUGGAUAGGGCGAACUGAACACCACUACAUCUCGCUUGUUCCAAUGGGUGCCCUGAUGCAGUCUGUGCAUUGAUAAAGAGUGUCCCCUGGCAGAUACAUUUUUAAGACUGUGAUCUCAUGACCCCCCUGCUGAAGGCAAUCCAGUGAAGCCAAGAGGAAUGGGCUGCAAUAUUAUUAGUACAAAGGACAUCAGAGGCAAAACCACUCUUGAUUAUGCAGCUGGUUUAAAACCAAACACUUUGGCAACAGCAUUUAUUGAACGUGGAGCUACAAUUGACACUAAAAUGGAGGAUUUAGAUAUAGCUCAGAGUUCUACAAAUUCUAUAACAACAAUUGAUGGUAAUGAGGGAGAUAUGGUAUCUAUUUCAGAGGCUAUAAACUCAUCUUUUACUACCACCAAUUCUUUUAAAAUCAUUUGAAGACAAUGAGAGAGAUAUUGUAUCUAUUUCAGAGGCUAUAAGCCCAUCUAUUACUACCACUGAUUCAGUUGAUGGCAGUGAGGGAGGCUAUGAACCUCUUUCAGAGAUUAUAAACUCAUCUAUUACUACCAUAAAUGCAGCAAUAUCAAACAUUGACACUAAUGCUGGAGCUGUUGAUGAUACAUUCAUUAAUUUCAGAGAUACUGUUUGGUGAUAAUAAUAUAGAAUUAACACCUUUUGACAAUACCAUCAAUGAUUUAAUAUCAGAGCUGGGGCUUAAAGAAAAAUAUGGUACAGAAUCAUCUGAGAAAUUCAUAACUUUUGACGAUACCAUUGAUAAUUUAAUAUCAAAGCUUGGAUUGGAUGAAAAUAGUACAGAGUCUUCAACUGCGAAAUUCACAAGUUCUGAUGAUUCCAUCAGCCUGCCUUUCAGCCUCAUAGACCAGCCUGCCAGCCACCGACCCUGCUCAUAGACCAGCCUGCCGGUCAUGGACCCUGCUCAUAGACCAGCCUAACCAACCACCGACACUGGUCACAUCCAGCCUGCCAGCCAUCGACACUGGUCUCAGACCAGCCUGCCAGUUAUCGACACUGGUCACAGACCAGCCAGCCUGCCAGCCACCAACACUGCUCAUAGACCUGCCAGCCACUGACACCGUCAUAAACCAGCCUGCCAGCCACCAACACUGGUCAUAGACCAGCCUGCCAGCCACCGACACUGGUCACAGACUAGCCAGCCUCCAACACAGACUUGCCAGCCUUUCCUGCUUGUUCAAAACACAGAGUAUGUAAUAAUUAAAUUAAAUAAAAAAAAUCUCAAGGUG